UACGGGGGGGGCAAGCGUUGUUCGGAAUUACUGGGCGUAAAGGGCUCGUAGGCGGCCAACUAAGUCGGAUGUGAAAUCCCCAGGCUCAACCUGGGAACUGCAUCCGAUACUGGAUGGCUUGAAUCCGGGAGAGGGAUGCAGAAUUCCAGGUGUAGCGGUGAAAUGCGCAGAUAUCAGGAGGAACACCGGUGGCGAAGGCGGGUCUCUGGGCCGAUACUGACGCUAAGGAGCGAAAGCGUGGGGAGCGAACAGG
rnacentral:rRNA from 1 species